rnacentral:rRNA from 1 species
GAUGAACGCUGGCGGCGUGCCUAAUACAUGCAAGUCGAGCGAACGGACGAGAAGCUUGCUUCUCUGAUGUUAGCGGCGGACGGGUGAGUAACACGUGGAUAACCUGCCUAUAAGACUGGGAUAACUUCGGGAAACCGGAGCUAAUACCGGAUAAUAUUUUGAACCGCAUGGUUCAAAAGUGAAAGACGGUCUUGCUGUCACUUAUAGAUGGAUCCGCGCUGCAUUAGCUAGUUGGUAAGGUAACGGCUUACCAAGGCAACGAUGCAUAGCCGACCUGAGAGGGUGAUCGGCCACACUGGAACUGAGACACGGUCCAGACUCCUACGGGAGGCAGCAGUAGGGAAUCUUCCGCAAUGGGCGAAAGCCUGACGAAGCAACGCCGCGUGAGUGAUGAAGGUCUUCGGAUCGUAAAACUCUGUUAUUAGGGAAGAACAUAUGUGUAAGUAACUGUGCACAUCUUGACGGUACCUAAUCAGAAAGCCACGGCUAACUACGUG